ACGCACGCUGGCGGCGUGCUUAACACAUGCAAGUCGAACGGAAAGGCCCUGCUUUUGUGGGGUGCUCGAGUGGCGAACGGGUGAGUAACACGUGGGUAACCUGCCCUUGACUUUGGGAUAACUUCAGGAAACUGGGGCUAAUACCGGAUAGGAGCUCCUGCUGCAUGGUGGGGGUUGGAAAGUUUCGGCGGUUGGGGAUGGACUCGCGGCUUAUCAGCUUGUUGGUGGGGUAGUGGCUUACCAAGGCUUUGACGGGUAGCCGGCCUGAGAGGGUGACCGGCCACAUUGGGACUGAGAUACGGCCCAGACUCCUACGGGAGGCAGCAGUGGGGAAUAUUGCACAAUGGGCGGAAGCCUGAUGCAGCAACGCCGCGUGCGGGAUGACGGCCUUCGGGUUGUAAACCGCUUUCGCCUGUGACGAAGCGUGAGUGACGGUAAUGGGUAAAGAAGCACCGGCUAACUACGUG
rnacentral:rRNA from 1 species